GAUUCUAAUUAACUUAAAAACUAAAAUAAUGUAACUUUUAAUAAGAAAAAAUUUGAAUUUUAAAAAGGUUAUUAUUAGGAUUUAUUUAACAAAAAAGGUUUAAAACACUAAACUAGUUAAUUAGAGGAAAAAAUAACGUUUUUUUGUGUGUCCAAAUGAAAUAUAUAAGAGUAGUCUCUAUUUAUAGAUUGUAAAAAGUUAUGAAUUUUGAUAUAAUUUUAUUAUUUAAAAAUAAAAAUAUUAUAUAAUAAAUGAGUUUUAGUUAUUGGGUAAAAAUUAAAAAUAAAGUAAAUGUACACAACAUUUCUAUCUAAUCAAUUUAAGCCAAGUGGCAAAACUGGUCCACGUAAAAUUUUAUCAACAUGUUAAAUUUUCCAACGAAUGUUGAAUCCAUAGAGAUAGACACAAUAUUUCAACACUCUCAUUGCAGGGUAUUCAACAGUUGAAACUUAUUUUCAAUACCUCCACUGUGGGUGGUCUAACUUUUAUCAAAACUCUUAAAAUCAUAUAAAAUCUUAACAUUUUUACCAAAAAAAAAAAAAACAAACACAAUCACUAUUUCUCAUGACAAAAGUAAUCAACUAUAAAGUGUGUGGGUUUGGCUGCAUAUCCAUGAUGUAAAAUAUAUCGACCCACAUCCAUCUGAAAUCAUCCGCUUCGCAUAAACAAUUUGAAAAAAAUACCCAUAUCAGCCCCACGGCGGUCAAAC
rnacentral:lncRNA from 1 species